AUGGGGGCAACCCUGACCGAGCAACGCCGCGUGAGUGAAGAAGGUUUUCGGAUCGUAAAGCUCUGUUGUAAGUCAAGAACGAGUGUGAGAGUGGAAAGUUCACACUGUGACGGUAGCUUACCAGAAAGGGACGGCUAACUACGUGCCAGCAGCCGCGGUAAUACGUAGGUCCCGAGCGUUGUCCGGAUUUAUUGGGCGUAAAGCGAGCGCAGGCGGUUUGAUAAGUCUGAAGUUAAAGGCUGUGGCUCAACCAUAGUUCGCUUUGGAAACUGUCAAACUUGAGUGCAGAAGGGGAGAGUGGAAUUCCAUGUGUAGCGGUGAAAUGCGUAGAUAUAUGGAGGAACACCGGUGGCGAAAGCGGCUCUCUGGUCUGUAACUGACGCUGAGGCUCGAAAGCGUGGGGAGCGAACAGGAUUAGAUACCCUGGUAGUCCACGCCGUAAACGAUGAGUGCUAGGUGUUGGAUCCUUUCCGGGAUUCAGUGCCGCAGCUAACGCAUUAAGCACUCCGCCUGGGGAGUACGACCGCAAGGUUGAAACUCAAAGGAAUUGACGGGGGCCCGCACAAGCGGUGGAGCAUGUGGUUUAAUUCGAAGCAACGCGAAGAACCUUACCAGGUCUUGACAUCCCGAUGCUAUUUCUAGAGAUAGAAAGUUACUUCGGUACAUCGGUGACAGGUGGUGCAUGGGUUGUCGUCAGCUCG
rnacentral:rRNA from 1 species